GACGAACGCUGGCGGCGUGCUUAACACAUGCAAGUCGAACGAUGAAGCCCAGCUUGCUGGGUGGAAGAGUGGCGAACGGGUGAGUAACACGUGAGUAACCUGCCCUGAACUCUGGGAUAAGCACUGGAAACGGUGUCUAAUACUGGAUACGACCUAUCACCGCAUGGUGUGUGGGUGGAAAGAUUUAUCGGUUCUGGAUGGACUCGCGGCCUAUCAGCUAGAUGGUGAGGUAAUGGCUCACCAUGGCGACGACGGGUAGCCGGCCUGAGAGGGUGACCGGCCACACUGGGACUGAGACACGGCCCAGACUCCUACGGGAGGCAGCAGUGGGGAAUAUUGCACAAUGGGCGCAAGCCUGAUGCAGCAACGCCGCGUGAGGGAUGACGGCCUUCGGGUUGUAAACCUCUUUUAGUAGGGAAGAAGCGAAAGUGACGGUACCUGCAGAAAAAGCACCGGCUAACUACGUG
rnacentral:rRNA from 1 species